rnacentral:rRNA from 1 species
GGAGUCUGGGCCGUGUCUCAGUCCCAAUGUGGCCGUUCAACCUCUCAGUCCGGCUACUGAUCGUCGACUUGGUAGGCCGUUACCCCACCAACUAUCUAAUCAGCCGCGAGCCCAUCUUUGAGCGAUAAAUCUUUGGUUGUGAAAUCAUGCGGUCCCACAACGUUAUUCGGUAUUACCAUCCGUUUCCAGAAGCUAUCCCAAUCUCAAAGGCAGGUUGCUCACGUGUUACUCACCCGUCCGCCACUAAGUUAAGAUGAAGCAAGCUCCUUCUUAACUCCGUUCGACUUGCAUGUGUUAAGCGUGCCGCCAGCGUUCGUC